rnacentral:rRNA from 1 species
AUGGAGAUAAUUGAUUUGUUUCCAUAUCUAUCUUUCUGUAUUCAGACUCGGGGGGAGAAGGUGCUUCAUGCUGAUGGUGUAUAUAAGCUUGGCACAGUGAAGAAGCAUUGCAAGACUCCAUCAGAAAAUGGACCCGCGGUAGACUGCAUCCGCAUCGGCGCAUGGGCGAUGCCGACAUUGGACAGCGGCAGAGCGUGCAAAGUCUGCGCUUCUGACGGACCUUCACCACCAAUUGCCAUGCUCUCUACCAUCCUUCUCGCUCCUCCCCAUCUCUAUGCCACAGCUCGCAGGCUAGCCCAACCUCUGCUGCCUUCCUUUCUGCCUCACCUCCCCUGA